GACGGAGGAUGCAAGUGUUAUCCGGAAUCACUGGGCGUAAAGCGUCUGUAGGUGGUUUAAAAAGUCUAAGGUUAAAAAUUGAAGCUCAACUUCAAAGGUGCCCUAGAAACUUUUAAACUUUGAGGAUGGUAGGGGCAAAGGGAAUUCCAGUGGAGCGGUAAAAUGCGUAGAUCUUGGAAAGACCGCCAAUGGCGAAGGCACUUUGCUGGGCCAUUACUGACACUGAGAGACGGAAAGCUAGGGGAGCAAAUGGG
rnacentral:rRNA from 1 species